rnacentral:tRNA from 1 species
GCGCGAGUGGUGGAAUGGUAGACACGCUACCUUGAGGUGGUAGUGGGAGCAAUCCUGUGGAGGUUCAAGUCCUCUCUCGCGCACCA